ensembl:lncRNA
GGGACAGAUGGGAUCCUGAGAAGGCAGCUCCUGUGCACAGGGUUUGUUUUGUCACGAGCCUGAUCUCUUUCCUGCUGUGAUUUUCCACUCCCUGUUCAUAAAUAAUAAAUCACAUGCACAUACCUGGGCACAUAGAAACACACUAGAACACAUGAAUAGAGGUGUAUAAGCACAUAUCGACGACUCAGUAUUUCUCCACAAUUACAAACAGAUGGAUUAGCUCUUAAGAUGUAUUAAAUCUUACUGUUUUAACUCUGCAGAUCAUGCAGAUAUCUUUGGUCAGCAAUGCUCUCAAGGAGGCUCACUGACACCAGAAAGUGGAACAGCCAAAAUCUUCUGCGCAUCUUUGGAAAUGUUUCCACCAUGACUGCAACUGUCAGGAGCCAUUACUUUGUGGAAUUUUACUGUUUUCAGCACAUGUGUCUUCGGCCGUCUUUGUGGAUAUUUUUAUGAAGUAUUUUUACUGGAAGUACUUUAAACUAUAGAAAGUCUGUCAUUGGUGACAAUCUGGUAUGCAGAUUAUGUAUAUAAUAGGUACACCUCUAAAAAGGUAUGCUGUUUUUUAUUUUAUUUUAUUUUUUUAUUGUUGUACAGUUCUUUUAUUAUAAUAAGAAGACCAUGCCAAGAAGACCAUGACCUCACUUCCGGCACACCCAUGGAGUGGUAAAUAGAAAGGAUAUUAAGGAAGAGGUCUGUUUGGUAUUAGGCUGGAAGCUGAGGACAGGAAAUGAUCCUGAGUUGUUCAGGCGCAGUCUAUGCACAUACUGCACACUGUUCCCAAGUUCCCAGUGCUCACGCUCACUCCUACGCAAGUCAAUGGACACAGAAGGGUUGACAGGGGUUAAAUGAGUGGGGAAGGAACACAAAGAUUGCAAAAAUUCAGGGGAGAGAUUACAUAAACAUCUUAACAUCUUGGCAACUUGACAGUUGCAUAGUUUCCCUUUCUUCCUAAAUCUCUUUCACUGUCUCUCUCUUUGUUUUACAGCAGUUAGUUCCCAAAAUAUGAAGAUCUGCUUAUCUUAUUAUGGUGAAGUUUGUGGAGCUUUUAAA